CAGUCGCACAUUCUUCUUGUUCGCUCCUCUAUUCUUUCCUUUCUUUCUUUUUCUUUCCGACAGCGUCUCCGACCAACCUUUGACCGCCGACCCAACCACCAGUCCGUUACGCAACCGUCGCACCACACAGCCUUGCGACUCCUCUUUGUGUUCCACCGACCAGCGACGCCGCCUACCAUCGCGCUCAACCCAAGCUACCGCAUUCGACAUCUGACCAGCGUCUUCCUCUCCAUCAGCCAAGCAGCCGCAUUGCCCAGACGGCCAGCCCCGCGCCUAGCUACCUCAUGCCGUUGUGACCUCGCUUUCUGUGCCUCCAGCCGCUCCGUGAACCGCCGAAGACCACCGCCCUAAUCUUUAAUCCUUGAUUAGGUCAGGUAAUUCAAAUUUUGGAAUCUUAGGCAAACCUGUCUCCAGCUGCAGACAAGCGCCCUAUGCUUGGUACCACUUUCCUUUUAUGCCAAGAAGUAACAUGAUGAUAAGACAACUAUACCUUCCAAGUGCCAUUGCUCACUGGUGCUAAACUGAGAUUUGAUUAGUCACGGCUGUAUGGCUAUAAUUGACUUUAUUUCAGGUAUGAAAAUUAUCAAAAUCACUAGGAAAUAUUACUUUCAAAUAGGUAGUAAAGCAAAAGUGUAAUCAAGCUUGUGUUUUGACAAUUCAGUUGUGGAGAUUGACUUUUCUUCAUUUGUUGUAGUAGUCAUGUCUGAAUUUAUCGCUAGCUGAAGUCCAACUUAUUAUUUGUCAAUUGGUUGUACAAUAAAAAUUGUUCACUAGCUUUAUGGAUUGCUUGUAUUGAUGAUUUCAUAAGUUUAUUCACAUUGAGUGUAAAUGGUAAUCAUUAUAAUGACCUGUUUUUAUAUCAUGAGCUAGGCCAAGUGAAAGGAGCUACAUGCAUUUAUUUCUAAUUUGUGGGUCUUUAAGUUUGUUGGUUGAUUUAUGAAAUCCCAAUCUAUUGCAUGGAUUUAUUUUGUGAUUCUUGAGAAUGAAUUGUUUGCUUUUGCAUUAUUUUGUUUGUGGGAAUUUGUCUGCCCAAAAUUUAUGGGGCUUGGUAUUUACCUGUAUUGUUUGAACAUGUUUGUCUUGCACUUGAGUAUAAUCAAUUUAUAUUGCUCAGAACUAAGUUGAAUGCAUUGGAGAAUAACAUCAUGUAUAUGCUCAAAAAUCAAGCCGAUUAACUACAUCAAUAGUUAGAGAAAUGGUUCCGUAUUUUUUAAGCUAAAACCUUGGCUUGACUAUAUCUAUAAAUUACUUUCUUUUAAUUAUCAGAAAAUAUAAUAUAUUUGCUUACGGUAAAGUUUGAGAUAUCUUGAAUACUGAAAUGCUACUUAAUAAUCAAUUCAAUACUUCGCUCUCAUGAGUACAUGAUAUUUAAAUCUAUGUGCAUCACAGGUAGACAGGCUUCAGACGUUGUACAAAAGUUGGGAAGAGGACCCAGAUGUUGAGUUUGUAGUUUUGAAUAUUGUCUUUUUACCUCCCAAGUCACUUGUAUUUUAUUUUCUUGUUUUCGCCUAACAUAUGGUUGAAAAAUUUUGAAAGGUAGAGAGACAAGGCAUUUGCAGUUGGUGGUGAUAUUGUGUCCAUCUAUAAUAUACUGAAAGAAGCUGCUACCGUUCCGGAGGCUGCGUUAAUUCACGAAAGAUGUCUGAAGUGCAAACACUCUGUGAGUUUGUCCACAUCAAGCCAAUCGACUGGACAUUCAAGGAUCUUGUUCGUCAUGCGUAACUGCCGUGUAUAUUCACUUUGACGCUGCAUGGGGCGAUGCAACGUUGCAUGUAAUUCUAUGAUGAUAAUUUUUGUUUGUGGAUUGAUACUGACUAAGUCCUUUACGUAGGUUGAACUUGCAUAUAUAUGUUGCUUCCUUUUGUGUGUUUGUUGCUAUGCUUUGCCUUUGGAUUGUAUAUGUUGGUUGUAUUGCGAACUAGUUAUGUUCCUAGACAGUGUGUACUUUGUGCUACUAA